rnacentral:rRNA from 1 species
CAGUAGCCGCGGUAAUACGGAGGGUGCAAGCGUUAAUCGGAAUUACUGGGCGUAAAGCGCGCGUAGGUGGUUCAUUAAGUUGGAUGUGAAAGCCCUGGGCUCAACCUGGGAACUGCAUUUGAAACUGGCAGGCUAGAGUCUUGUAGAGGGGGGUAGAAUUCCAGGUGUAGCGGUGAAAUGCGUAGAGAUCUGGAGGAAUACCGGUGGCGAAGGCGGCCCCCUGGACAAAGACUGACGCUCAGGUGCGAAAGCGUGGGGAGCAAACAGGAUUAGAUACCCCAGUAGUCCCUGUCUCUUAUAC